UACGAAGGGGGCUAGCGUUGCUCGGAAUCACUGGGCGUAAAGCGCACGUAGGCGGAUCGCUAAGUCAGGGGUGAAAUCCUGGAGCUCAACUCCAGAACUGCCCUUGAUACUGGCGGCCUCGAGUCCGGGAGAGGUGAGUGGAACUGCGAGUGUAGAGGUGAAAUUCGUAGAUAUUCGCAAGAACACCAGUGGCGAAGGCGGCUCACUGGCCCGGUACUGACGCUGAGGUGCGAAAGCGUGGGGAGCAAACAGG
rnacentral:rRNA from 1 species